UUAACGAGUAUACAUAAGCUAAAUUAACAUAUUGGAUUACCUAUGUUAUUUUACGAGUCAUAUUCAUUCAUAUAUCAUCAUUAUAGGAAAUCCGCGAAACAGUGCAUGUGAGGCCCAGUCAGAUAAGCCUGUAAGAAAAAAAAGAUGUAGUGUUCCACUUCAUUGUUCCCUACCUGUAGAGUUGUUGGAGAAAACCCUGUAUUGUUAUGUUACAAAUAUAACUAAAUAAAGGAGUAGAAUUUAUGUUCACUUUGUUAUAAUAUAAAGGAAGCAUGUAAUCAUCGUACGCAUUGCAUAAAUGAAUACAUGUGUAUUGUAAAAAGUGUG